ACUCAAAGGAAUUGACGGGGACUUGCACAAGCAGUGGAUUAUGCGGUUUAAUUCGAUGACAAACGAAAAACCUUACCAAGGUUAGAAAUCUACGUGACGGUUUCUGGAAACAGAUUCCUUCCGCAAGGACUAGUAGACAGGUGAUGCAUGGCCGUCGUCAGUUCGUGAUUUGAAUUGUUCCCUUAAGUGGGGUAACGAACGCAACCCUCGUUGCCAGUUAUAUAUGUCUGGCGAGACUGCCCCCGUUUGUGCGCACGACUUCGUCGCGCUUACAAACGGGGGAGGAAGGCGAGGAUGACGCCAGGUCAGCAUGUCCCUCUGACACCUUGGGCCACACGCAUAAUACAAUCGCAUCUACAACGGGUCGCGACGCCGUAAGGCUGAGCUAAUCCUAAGAAAAGGUGCGCCAGUUCGGAUUGGGGGCUGCAACUCGACCCCAUGAAGCCGGAAUUGCUAGUAAUCGCGGGUCAGCUAUACCGCGGUGAAUACGUUCUCAAGUCUUGUACACACCGCCCGU
rnacentral:rRNA from 1 species